rnacentral:rRNA from 1 species
ACGAACGCUGGCGGCGUGCUUAACACAUGCAAGUCGCACGCUGAAGCUCAGCUUUUGUUGGGUGGAUGAGUGGCGAACGGGUGAGUAACACGUGAGUAACCUGCCUCCUUCUUUGGGAUAACGCCCGGAAACGGGUGCUAAUACUGGAUAUUCACUGGUCUUCGCAUGGGGGUUGGUGGAAAGGGUUUUUCUGGUGGGGGAUGGGCUCGCGGCCUAUCAGCUUGUUGGUGGGGUGAUGGCCUACCAAGGCUUUGACGGGUAGCCGGCCUGAGAGGGUGACCGGUCACAUUGGGACUGAGAUACGGCCCAGACUCCGACGGGAGGCAGAAGUGGGGAAUAUUGCACAAUGGGCGAAAGCCUGAUGCAGCGACGCCGCGUGAGGGAUGGAGGCCUUCGGGUUGUGAACCUCUUUCGCUCAUGGUCAAGCCGAAACAAUGGUUGUGGUGAGGGUAGUGGGUAAAGAAGCGCCGGCUAACUACGUG